rnacentral:rRNA from 1 species
CUUUAUUGGAGAGUUUGAUCCUGGCUCAGGACGAACGCUGGCGGCAUGCCUAAUACAUGCAAGUCGAGCGGACUUGAAGAGAAGCUUGCUUCUCUGAUAGUUAGCGGCGGACGGGUGAGUAACACGUAGGCAACCUGCCCUCAAGCUUGGGACAACUACCGGAAACGGUAGCU